rnacentral:sRNA from 1 species
GAGGUGGUUGUUGAUGUUGUACCUGAACUAAAAUGGAAUCCUGAGGAUGGGUAUAAAAAUAUGAAGGUCGUUGUAGAACUAGGCGAUGAGAUAGAUGCAAAAAAAGCUUGUGAAAGACAACUAAGACAGAAAUACAAGUCUCUUGGUGCGUUGAAGAUUGUAACCGAGCGAGGGCUACA